GCUUAUAUUUAUAUUGGAUUUUGAAAUGCAAGAAACUGUAAGUUUCAAAAUAUUCUUCUCACUUUUCGUCGAAACAACAUUUUAAUUAUUAAACGAUAGAGAGUAUGUUCGAUUAUCUGGAAAAUUAUUAACGGAAGCACGAUCAAUUGAAUUCGUAUCGAAUCAGAAAUUCGCAAAGGCAAUGAUUUCUGUUAAAGCUGUACUCAAUUGACUUUCUCUUCAGGUAAAUUAAAUCUUAAUUCUGUCGAGCUAGUGUACAAUGGAAAAUCGUAAACUAGUGGAAUUGAAUUCUCCAGUGUCUCGCCACUGUCUAAAAUAUCGCUGACAACGAAUAUAAACGUAAACGCUUGUGAAUAUUUCUCAUUUCGCGCCUUGGAAAAUCCCAUUCCGCUACCGAUGUCCGACCAUUAUUUGACCUGUUCCAUUUACGAUUUCGAACAGUAGUCGCGUUACAAUUGUUCUACAAUCAGUUUCAUUGACCGGGCCGGGCUUUUCUUAAUGACGUUGGCAAACUUCGUUGGUUGUUGGAGCGAAACACGCUUAGAACGUAUUAUGUUGUUGACUAACAGGACCAUGGCAUAAUGUUCGCACAGUGAAAUUAAACGGUUCAGAAACUUCUGUAAUCUGCCACGUAAACCUUCUCAGUAGUGGGGUUAAUGGGAGAAUGUUGAAAGAUUUACGAAAGUUGAAUUUCUUGCUCUGAAACUUUGCUUUUUCAUAAUGAUUCCUAGUUUUCUGCGGUUUUAAUCAUUUCUUCAUCAUAUUUUUCAUAUAAGAUCAAAAUUAAUUGCAUUCUAUUAAAAAAAAAAUUCGUUAUUUAAAAUAUAUUUUACGAAAAUAGUGUAACGCAUUUCGGUGGAAAAAAAAUGAUAUCGGGUGGCUGACGAACGUUUCCUGAAAACACUGCGUGCCAUCGGGCGAUUAACUCGAGGAAAAAUUGGCCUCACCGCGGGAAAAAAAGUGGGCGUCGCAGCCGAUGAACUCUGCUCGUUUCUUUUCGCCUCGGGCCUUUUAACGAUUUCGCGCCCAGACUCUUUCUCUUUCUCUCUUUCUCUCUCGAAUACGAAACUCGACGCUUCAUGACGAAGAUUCCCCAAGCUUUGGACUAAAAUUCUCCAACGGACACGCGAUAACAGCCAGUGUGUGUUACACGAUAAUCGCGAACGUUACGCCUAUGGUGGAAUUAAACGGUUUGCGGUUUCGUAUAAUCCAUUAUACAAGCCAUUGAUGAUGCAGUGUGAAUCUGGUAACGGAAUAACAAGGUAACGGAGAUCCGGGAUUUCACGUGGCAGACAGUCUGAGCUUGGAAUUCGUGGAACAAGUGGCCCGAACAAUAAUGCUCGUAUGCGUACGCAUAUUUGUUUCCGCUCCCUUUGAGACGAAAUUGCUCGAGAAGAACGCGCUUCUCAGACGUUCGUCAAUUCUCUUUUUCUAUUUCUUUCUCUCUUUUUUCAAUAAACUCGAGCAAUGAGCACAGAAAGAGAGAAAACUAGAACAAGACGUAGCUCUUUUCUUCUAAGACUUAAGAUGAUUGGUCGAGAAAAUUAUUUAUAGUUCUCGAUCAUAACGAGAGAAGGCGCAACGAGUACAGAACGAAUUGGUAAAGAAAAUAAGAAAUAUGGCGAUUCGUCGGAAUCCAUUUGAUUUCCUCGCGUGAAUGUUACAAAGAAAAAAAUAAUUUGCGUUCUUUUGUCUCGUUGGAUGAAUUAGAAAAGUGAAUUCAAAUAUAUAUAUAUGUUGAAAUGUGAAUACCGAUUGUAGCUAGUUACUAUAUAUAUAUAUAUAAUAGUGUUGUGAAAAAUUAGAAGAAACUUUUGAAUGUUUCCUACGCAAGAUACCCAACGGCUCAUUUUUUUCGUAUCGGUCGAUCAACGAAUUCGUGCCUUCUGUUUUAAUUAUCUCGAGUGAAAUUCUUUGUGCAUCGCUACAAACAAAGGAAUCAAGUCAACAUCGUUGCAUAGGAUGGAUGAUGCUGUUACACUCGUGGAGGAUUUUCGGCUAUACGAUAUUCCACUUUCACGAUUGAGGAAGAAUCGACAGCUGCUGCUUUUGCGGCCAAUAAACUAAAGAGGACUCGAGGCAAGGGCAGUUAAGUGGCCCUCUCCCUCUUCCCUUGGAAAGGGUAUGAAAAUCGAAGAACGAAGAAAGACGAAGAUCGAAGAAAGAGAGAAAGAGAGUCAUCGAAUUUUACGACGUCGUAUCGAUGCAAUAUUCCUCGUGGAUGGCUCGUGGAAAUAUCUUUGGAUGGCAGAGCCGCAUCCUUCCCAGUCUCUCACUUUAAAGCGCGGGGGCCGUUAAAUGCGAAAAUAGGGUAAACUUCUCGUCAACGCGUACCGUCUUGAUUCGAAAAUACCCCGAGGCGGGGAGGGUGGCGUUCGAUGCGAGAGGCGAGAAACGGCGGAAUCAAAUAAAUAUACAAUCAGAAAAAGGUGGAGGGCGGUUCUACUUUGAACCAACGCUCGGCGACCCCAACCCUCUUCGACUAAAUUUAUCCUCCCCCGUGUUUGCUCGCCGACUAUUUAUUUUCUACAUUUAUGGAAUAUCUGAACUGUAACUACCCUAAAUAAUUUCCAACCUCGAAGGGGUGGAGAUAGAAGCAAUGAGAGAAGAGUGGAGCGAUCUCGAAAUUGGAGAAAAAAACAAGGAGCAAGACAUCUCGAAGCGGAAAAUCGUAUGCGCACGCCUUGUAAAAAUAUCCAGGGGAUCUCGAGGAGAUUAGUUAACAAGAUUACUUACGACUGUCAGCGCUCUGUAAGCAAGUUUCUGAAUAGGGGUAUGGCGGGUUGUGGCGCGGAUGAUCUACUAUGCAGUCAGCCAGCCAUGUCAACGAUAUACAUUCAGCCCCGGCCCGUGGUGCAAGUAGGGCUGCAAUGUCUGCGAAACGGUAAUGGAACGGCAAACGACCUGGGAUUUACCCCUUGGAACAUUCUAACAAAGCUCUAGGCCACCGCAGCCACCUACCACGAAGAGAGGAAAAAAAUUGAUCGGGUGGGAUGCUUGCAUGCUAUCUUCGAUUCGAGUGGAUCGAGUUAAUCCUGUCGAGAUGAAUUUUAAAUCUUUGCUAAUCUCCAUUCGCUCGUGAUUGCCGUUUCGACGAUCAAUCGAAAAUGCGAGAGCGUAAAUGUGAUGAUAUUUAUUGACUCUCCAAGGUGCCAUACUCUCUUUACGCCCGAGCUGACAUAGAUAACGGUCUAAAAGCCUCGCGAGGUGAAGUCGACGAUAUGACGGCCACGAAAGAGCUCGUAAAAAUUGCUAACGGAAUUAAUGGCCUCGAUGGCCGUGAAGACGAGGAGCAACAACAUCAUUAAAAAAUCCAUCCAGUGACGACGGACCAACGUUUCGAACGUCAAUUACGUUUUCGCACGUCGAAAAGAGAACAUUUUUCGAAGGGUUGGCGAACUUUGUUCGCGGUGGUAAUCCGUUUUAAAUCGACAGGGAAGGGGGGGAGAGGUGAAAAGUUGCGGAGAAAAAUGUCGCAGCGUCGACGAGAUGGAAUUGAAUUCGGUCGAAUUCAGAACGCCUUGUACUAGGGAGCUUCGAGGUAUUUCGAGGUACACGUAGGAAUAGUAGGGAAUCACCUUGGGAGAUAUUUUUCGGGGGAGGAGAAACUAUAGUGGUGACGCGUGUUGUUGGAAUCUACUUAUUUAGAGUGCAAGUAUGUUCGAUAACAUAAUAAUUUUCACUCUCAAUGUCUAUUUUAGUGGAAAAUAAUUCUCGAAGAUAAAUUUUGAAAAUUUUGCUUUUAAAUGUAUUUACGUAAUAAGGAUUGUUAAUCUUGGACGGUUGCAUUCAACGUCUAUCUCUAUUGUUUGAAGAAACUCUUUCGAGAGCAACAAUUUUAAUUUUAAUUUUAAUUUUUCUCAAAUGUAUUUGUAUAAGAUUUAUAUAAGGUUAGACAAAUUUUGCAAGUCUUAAAGUUUAAGUUAAAUUGCAUUGUAUUAUGUAAAGUAGUUUUUAGUUUACUUGGUAUUUAUAUUAACAAAAGUGAUAAUUUUGAAAUAGAAGGAAUGACGUGUCAACGAUCUUUGUAAGAUCCGAUUUCCUAGUUUAAUUAUUAUAGUUAUGUUGAUCGUGGUUAGUAUUUGGAUGAAUGCCAUUUGGAAAUCUGUGUAUUGAUAUCAAAAUGUUUCUUAAACUAUAAACUUCGGCUAAUGACCGCAUUGAUUAUGACAAUCGAUAGUGGUUAAAUAACGAAUAACAAACAAAUAGCAAAUAAUAAUUUUGCCAGCAGAGGGAUCCAAUGAUUGCAAUUUGAUAAUCAAGUUAAUACUUGAUUGUGUACAGUAGCUCGAAAUCCACUUUACACCACUUUAGAGUCUCAACUAAUAAUUACAACAGUAGAUUAAAUACCAAAUAACAAACAAAUAUCAAAUAAUAAUUUUGCCACGUAGAAAUCCACUGAUUCCAAUAUAAUAACCAAAGUUAAACUACAUUGGUCACAGUUAAUACUUGGUUGAUAUAUCGUUUAAUAAUGACUCAGAACUCAUUUAUCCAACAACUACAUAAUGAACUACAAAAUAUUUACUUUUGACAUAGUUUCAAGAAAAAUAUAAAAAUAUGUAUCUACAUUGUAUGCGAUAAAUUAUAAUAUUUGAAACGUUUAUGUAGAGGAAUAUGUAACCAAAAUUUAAUUAAGUUGAUCACUUGGUUAAUAUAUAAUUGGCAAUAAUUCAGAACUAUCUUUAAUUUAACAAAUACAUUAAAUAACGAACAACAAAUAAAACACGAAUACUUAUAAGUCUUAAUCAGUUUCAAGAAACGAUAAAAACGACUCUGUAUCUAUCAUUUACUGUGUACAUUGUACACAACAGGUUGCGAUAGUCGAAUCCUGAAACGGUGUCACGUGGAAGAACAGGGGUGCGUGGACGUAACAACGGGCCGGUGGCACCCUUCGAUGAUCCUUAGAGGGAUAUAGAUAAUGAUUAAUCACGCUCGAGUGGCUUCGCUUCCCUCUUGGUGAUGCUCCCUGUGUAUCGGUCCAUCUCUUUUUCCCUUGGCCAGCGUCCACGGGAUGAAGGUUUAUGCGCAUUCGUUUCAGAUUUCAAACGCUUUGCCACUUCGAACAUCGGUAAAGCGUAGGAAUUCUAAAACAAAUACCACGCUUUUAUCUCGUUGCCCCGUUUCUUUCCUUUCUUUAACGUUCCUUCGUAGUAGUAACUGUCACUCGAUUCAUUCAUUUUCUCUCGAUCGAAAUCCAAUUCUUCCGAGAUGGAUAUUAUGGAUUAGAUUAGAUAAGAUUUUUUUUGUCCAAUGAGUUAUUUCGGAUUGAAAUGUCUGAAGAGGAGGCAAGAUUUAUAGUGGGAUUUUUAACAAUAUAGGAUUUAAGCAAAGUGAUAUCGAUUAUAUUGAAACGUAUAUUUUGAUGUAUCAUCAAGAAGUAGAUUGAAUUAAUAGCAAUGUGACACUGCUCGAAAUUUAUUAAUGAAUAAAAUGAAGUUUUAUCAUUCGUUUUAUGUUAUUCGUAAUGUUAAUGAGAAAUUUCAAGAAGCUAGAAAAAUUAAAAUUUCAAAUUGUGAAUUCGUAUAUUGGCAUCGAAUUAUAAAACAUAACCUCAAACGUCACAAAAUAAAGAUCGAUCGAUCGAUUAUUCGCUUUGCAUAGAGCAAUUUAUCCAAAAAAGCUUUUACCCAAAAAAUUUUCUCUACUUCUUUUUCAUUUCUUUUCCCGUAUUAUGAGAGGAAAAAAAAAAUGUCUUUUAAUGACUCAAAGGAAGAAAACUGGCUAAUCUUAGCUAGACUCGAUCCGAACUUUCGUAAAAGGACAUAAUCGAUAUUUCCAUUAUUGAACCGUUCGUUUGUGUAACGUUAAAUGAACCGAUGGUCCGUAAUGCCAUUUAUCGAUAAAGGUCGUUAAUAUUCUCGGAAAGUUGCACUCCUUUACGAGAACUGAAGUUUGUUUGCAUUUAUAGGAAAAGAUCGUUCGUGGUAAUGAUCGAUAUUAUUAGCCUCGUUGAUAAAGAAGUAUUAGAGUUUUUCUUCGAAUUCGAAUCUCUGAGAGUUUAAUUUACCAUUUGAUGAUAACUUCUGGUAUUAUUUAUUUAUAGUACUGAUGUUAUAAUACCGCGAUACCAAUACUCGUACUAUCAUAUACAUUUAUUUAUCAGAAUUUGGAGAUUUUGGAUAAUUAUAUAUAAAAUAAAAAUAAAAAGAACUGAUAAAUAUUUAUUAUAUUGAAUAUAUUACAAUUCUAAAAUCUUAUUUGAGAGAGAGAAAAAAUUCAAAUGUUUCUUAUUAUUCAAAAUAACAAUAAAAAGAGAAUAAAAAAGCAUUUCAAUUCACGUUCAGAUGAAAAAGCACGUGAUAUCGAAAAAUAAGAAGAAACGUUAAAACGUUUUAACCAAAGAAGGUAAAAUCGGUCUACGAAAUAUUCAAAUUGCCUUCUCGUGUGGAGCAUACGCCCUACAUUGGAAAAUACCGGUUUAAAACGAGCGAUGGAACAAAUUCGCAAAGAAAGAGCGGUGUGCACGUGGCGAUUUUUCUCGAAAUUCUUUCCAGGGCGUGGAUGGGACAAGCGGGGUAUUUAUUGGCUUCCAUCCCAUCGCUUAACUCGGUUGGCAUUUCGUCAAAAAUGUUUCGAGUAUGUAUUUCGAAAACGUUAUUCGAUUUCCUUUUAUAUUCCAUUAUUCCUUUCUCUUUUUUCUUCUUUUUUUUUAUAGCCGUAAGAAUUUAUUUUACGUCUUUCGUUUAUUCUCAGUUCGUACAGUUAUAUGUAUUAUCCAAUCCUGUUAUCCAAUUUAAGUUCUAUGCGCCCUUUAACUUUUAAAUAAAGUUAGAAGACCC